UUAAAUUGAAGAGUUUGAUCAUGGCUCAGAUUGAACGCUGGCGGCAGGCCUAACACAUGCAAGUCGAACGGUAACAGGAAGCAGCUUGCUGCUUUGCUGACGAGUGGCGGACGGGUGAGUAAUGUCUGGGAAACUGCCUGAUGGAGGGGGAUAACUACUGGAAACGGUGGCUAAUACCGCAUAACGUCGCAAGACCAAAGAGGGGGACCUUCGGGCCUCUUGCCAUCAGAUGUGCCCAGAUGGGAUUAGCUAGUUGGUGAGGUAACGGCUCACCAAGGCGACGAUCCCUAGCUGGUCUGAGAGGAUGACCAGCCACACUGGAACUGAGACACGGUCCAGACUCCUACGGGAGGCAGCAGUGGGGAAUAUUGCACAAUGGGCGCAAGCCUGAUGCAGCCAUGCCGCGUGUAUGAAGAAGGCCUUCGGGUUGUAAAGUACUUUCAGCGGGGAGGAAGGUGUUGUGGUUAAUAACCACAGCAAUUGACGUUACCCGCAGAAGAAGCACCGGCUAACUCCGUGCCAGCAGCCGCGGUAAUACGGAGGGUGCAAGCGUUAAUCGGAAUUACUGGGCGUAAAGCGCACGCAGGCGGUCUGUCAAGUCGGAUGUGAAAUCCCCGGGCUCAACCUGGGAACUGCAUUCGAAACUGGCAGGCUUGAGUCUUGUAGAGGGGGGUAGAAUUCCAGGUGUAGCGGUGAAAUGCGUAGAGAUCUGGAGGAAUACCGGUGGCGAAGGCGGCCCCCUGGACAAAGACUGACGCUCAGGUGCGAAAGCGUGGGGAGCAAACAGGAUUAGAUACCCUGGUAGUCCACGCCGUAAACGAUGUCUACUUGGAGGUUGUGCCCUUGAGGCGUGGCUUCCGGAGCUAACGCGUUAAGUAGACCGCCUGGGGAGUACGGCCGCAAGGUUAAAACUCAAAUGAAUUGACGGGGGCCCGCACAAGCGGUGGAGCAUGUGGUUUAAUUCGAUGCAACGCGAAGAACCUUACCUGGUCUUGACAUCCACGGAAGUUUUCAGAGAUGAGAAUGUGCCUUCGGGAACCGUGAGACAGGUGCUGCAUGGCUGUCGUCAGCUCGUGUUGUGAAAUGUUGGGUUAAGUCCCGCAACGAGCGCAACCCUUAUCCUUUGUUGCCAGCGGUCCGGCCGGGAACUCAAAGGAGACUGCCAGUGAUAAACUGGAGGAAGGUGGGGAUGACGUCAAGUCAUCAUGGCCCUUACGACCAGGGCUACACACGUGCUACAAUGGCGCAUACAAAGAGAAGCGACCUCGCGAGAGCAAGCGGACCUCAUAAAGUGCGUCGUAGUCCGGAUUGGAGUCUGCAACUCGACUCCAUGAAGUCGGAAUCGCUAGUAAUCGUGGAUCAGAAUGCCACGGUGAAUACGUUCCCGGGCCUUGUACACACCGCCCGUCACACCAUGGGAGUGGGUUGCAAAAGAAGUAGGUAGCUUAACCUUCGGGAGGGCGCUUACCACUUUGUGAUUCAUGACUGGGGUGAAGUCGUAACAAGGUAACCGUAGGGGAACCUGCGGUUGGAUCACCUCCUUACCUUAAAGAAGC
rnacentral:rRNA from 1 species